rnacentral:piRNA from 1 species
UGAUCUAGUCACCUUUAGGACAGUUCCA